CAAUCUUCCUAGGCCAGGAUUUACCUCACCAUUGAGAGAGGCAAUCUUCCUAGGCCAGGUUUUACCUCACCAUUGAGAGGGACAAUCUUCCUAGGCCAGAUUUACCUCACCAAUGAGAGGGACAAUCUUUCUUGAUCAGGUUUUACCUCACCAAUGAGAGGGACAAUCUUCCUAGGCCAGAUUUACCUCACCAAUGAGAGGGACAAUCUUCCUAGGCCAGGUUUUACCUCACCAUUGAGAGGGACAAUCUUUCUUGAUCAGGUUUUACCUCGCCAUUGAGAGGGACAAUCUUACUAGGCCAGGAUUUACCUCACCAAUGAGAGGGACAAUCUUCCUAGGGCAUGUUUUAUCAUCAACGUGUAUUUGUCUGUUUUUCUGUGCUGUAGAUGGAAUGUAAGAACCAUUGUGAUCGUAUAGAGUUUUAGACAUUCCAGUAUGAUAAAUAAAAUAUUAUGUUUUUUACACAAUGAU